GCUUCACUUUGGGUUUACACUGUGCUUUGGAGGAUUUCCUUGGCUGUUCUUCAACUUUCCUUUGACAAUGUAUGCUCUCCCUGGUAGCAGAAAUAUUUGUGUACAAGUUCAUCUCAGUCUCCAUCUCGCAAGGCUCUGUUAGAAAGCAGCACGCAGCAAGUGGAGCUGGGCUGCAGAAGCACCUACCAGGCCCUAAACUCAUGCAGGUGGUAAAACACUGGCUGCCGUGAACUUCAUGCUAAAAAUAAGAAAGAAGAGAGAGCUGUGGUUUGGAGGCAAACUGCAGGCUUGGAAUGUUGUGGCUGCUGAAAUCACUGCAAGGAUAAUAGGGCAUACAUGCAUUUGUGGAUAAUUCCGUUUGCUAAUUGCUCAUGAAAUUUCAGGUAAGGAACAUCCAAUUCAAUUUGGUAUAAUAGGUAAUGGUCUGGGUUUUGCUUUUCAGGGUGGGUUUUUAUUGUUAUUUUUAUUGCUGUCAUUACAAAUACAUGGCACUCUGUGAUGGGAAGAACACUUUGUAUAAAGGCUGGGGCACUUUUUAGCCAUGUGCACUGCAGGCAG
rnacentral:lncRNA from 14 species